ACAAAUACUACACUAGUCUUUUUUUCAUCUGGUGUGAAACUUUAAAGACAACUUAUUAAUAAUCAAAUAUGUAUUGUAAUUUAACAUCUUGAAAAAAAAAUAAAGAAAGGAUCUGAUCAUUUAACUUAACUAUGUCCAUAACUAGCGAGGCAAAGCGCAGUCAUGGCUAUGGGCGCCGCUCCGAUGUCUUUUCCGGCUAUCACCGGACUCCCACCGGCAUCGGAAAUGAAAUCUCAACUCUCCAUCUCAUUUAGGUACUUCCGACUUUCCAUUUCCAUCUAUAAAAUCUAAUUGCACAUUUCUCUCGAAAUCCAAUAGGAAAAUCGUCCUGAAUUCUAUCAGCUUGACUUAUUAAGCAUCUGAUGAUUUUUCCGUCAAACUAUAUACAAGUGAUCAUUUUCUCGCAAAGCACCCAAAUCCUCCAUUGGGAAGCCAUCUGCCAUGACAAUUGUACUUCCUCUUUUUCGAAAUCUUUUUUCUGCAUCCACAAAAAUUAUUGUAAUUCCUCUCUUGCAUUCUUAUUCCUUGACAAUGCAAUCAUUGAUGUUAAUUUCGUAUUAGAGAAUGGAUUUGUUGAGAGUAUUGGCUAAAUAUCACUGCUUCACAAGCUGAAGUCCAGUAGACUAAGUACUUAGGCUUACCUGCUAUUAUUAGGAGAUCUUCAACUGACUCAGGUAGAUGUAUUAAUUUUCCUGCAAUUCCUCCUUCAUUUGGUUUGUCAUGUGGAUGAUGUCCAUGUAUUAUAACCCUAGUGGGGAGUGUUGUUGUGGUAAUUCCUGUAAAAUUAUAAUUUAUUGAAAGAUGUUUUAGGGUUUCCUAACCAAAAAUUUCAUUGUAUUAUACUCCUUAAGUCAUGCAAAACUAAAAGGCAAAUACAAGCAACCCAUAGUCAAAGACUAAAUCUUAGUUGUCUAAGUGAGAUUCAACUCAUGAAUUUAAACUGGAAAUGCCCAUUUUGUAAACUGCAAAUUCUGGUCAAACUUUUAAAGAAGCAUUUUGGCUUUUUACGGGAGUUUUUCCACAUUGAUAGAAUUACUUACUUUAUCAAAAAGAAAAAAGGGCAUGUCGACAACCCAAAACAUUUCAAGUUUUUUCAAUUUCAAACUUAUUACAUGUCUGCAGAAAACUAAAACGUUGCUUAUUUGAGUAAAAUAGUAGUAUAAGGUCAAAUGCAGAUGCAGGUAGAAUGUAGCUAAGAAGUUUUCAAAAUAACCAGGGGUUAUGUCCAUCAAAUUUCACCAUUCUAUGUUCCUUAAAAUUUUACAUACUCUGCAAAGUUUCAUAGUCACAUUUAUGGCAUAUAUGAUACGAUCUUUGGUAUAUUUUGAUGCCAAUUGUCCACGCUUGCUGUCAGCACAUAUAUCUUACUCACAUUGUGAGAUAUUAAUAACGGAACAGUUCUAGGUGAGGCAUAAGCUUACUAUUUCCGUCUUGGCUUUGUCCUUCAUGAUUUUGUCCCCUACUCAUUGUACUCACCUGCAAGAGAAUGAAGCAUUAAUCAUCAUAGAAAUUGGAUAAAAGUUCAAGUGGAUAAGAUUUUGGAAGCCUUUCAUUUGCCUGACUGUGCUUCUUGCUUUGCUUCGCUAGUGUUCACUGUUGCACAAGAUUUUGCAACUUUAUUAUGUUAGAUUUGGAAAUCAUUAUUGUUGUAUUGUCAACCGGUCAUUGUCAAACCUUUCUAGGAAUAUCUUUUCCCCUGUUUUUUUAGGAUAUCAAAAAAGGGUAACCUUGUUUGUUACCGUUGAAGGUACAAGAUGAUGGAUAAAAAGUUUGUCUUAUUCAUUACUGAGAUAGACGUAUAUUUCAUUGUUUGGUAUGACAAAAGUCAUUUUCAAUGGAAAACAUUUUCCUGGAAAAUGUUUGUGUUUGGUUAGUGAGUGCAAAAUAUAUUUUCUGGAAAAAAGUAUAUCUUAAAGAUUAAUAAUGAUAUUAACAAGGGUGUUUGGAUGAAAAAUUUGAGUAUUAACGAAUAAUAAUAUUCCCUCCGUUUCAAUUUAGAUUAUGUAGUUUGAUUUGACAUAAGGUUUAAGAAAAAAAAAGAAGACUAUUGAAAUAUAUGGUCCUAAAAGCUUAAGGGGCAAAAGCUUCGUGGGGCCAUGAUAUUUUUGGCUAUAAAAGCUUCUCAUUAAGGGUAAAGUGGGUAAAAUAAAAAGUUUAAAGUGAAAUUGUUACCAAAUAUAAAAAUGUGUCAUUCUUUUUGGAACAGACUAAUAAGUAAAGUGUGUCAUUUAAAUUGAAACAAGGGGAGUAAUAUCUAAGUAUUAGUUGGAGCAUGUAAUAUGAAGUUGAAAGUUAAGAUAGUUGUAAAGAAAAUGACUUUUCCUCUAAGUGAGGUAAGUUGUAUUUCCCUUUUGUGGGAAAUAUUUUCCUUGAAUGAGGAAAAUGAGGAAAAUCAUAAGUUAAGAUAGUUGUAAGGAAAACAGCAUCUACUGAUAAGUUAGGUAGUAACUCUCCGGAAAACAUUUUAUGGUAACCAAACACUAAGGAGAUGACUUUCUCAUUGGAAACAUUUCUUUGGAAAAUCCCUUUCUUCAUGCCACUCUUCAGGAGUCUUGAGUGGGGAAGGUAAUAAUAUCUGCUCAUUUGGGAAUGAGGGGAAAAUCCAGGUUCAAGUGGCAAAGGUAGAGGGACUUGUGACGUAGGUCACAAGUUCAAGCUCCGAGCCAUAUGAAUUAAUCGUGGUAUUUAUGUGGUGAAGGGUGUGUGUAAUCCCCGAGUUUCGGAGGCUGCGGUAAGUCCUAAAGGUUCAUCCCAGAAGAAUCUCUCAGUCAUCCAAAAAAAAAAAGGAUCAAGCCAAGUUCAAGUACUUGCUCAGUUUAAUGCCAUAGAUUUUGCUAGUUUAUUGCAAAGGAUUACCUCACUAUUCACGUCACUGAGCAGCUGUGAUAUGAGUGGUAUCUCUUGUAGCUCUUCCUUUUCCAUUCCUUUAAGAUUCUGAUUUAUAUCAUGUCACAAGACCAUGAUGUGAGUAUGAAUACAGAGAUAACUAACAUAAGAGCUAAUCUGAUGAGCUGUCAUCUAAUGGAAAAUGCCAUUACCAGCUCAGUGUUACUGACGCUCAGAUCUUCGAGCAUAGGGUGCACGAAACUUUAAUAACUAGCUUGUCACUGGGGAUGUUAUGAUGUUCAAGACUAGCAACUAAAAGCUACCACAGUACCUGAAGAAAAUUGGAGAGGAUUAUCUUUCCAUCUGCGUUAAGGGGCUGCACCAGUUGCUUGAAAUGAUGAUGGCUGAUUCGAACAACCUGAGAAAGUCUCUUACUUCUCACGGUAAAAGGCUGGGGCGUAUUAAAGAUAACACCUACUUCACCGAACAAUUCUGGGGACUCCAACUUUGACAGGAACUGUUCAGCAGAAAGGAGAAACUUUUUUAAGAAAAGAACUCUCUGAUUAAUUGGAGAUUUUCAUACUAUGAUAAAUGUUGGCUUAAUUGACCAAUGAAUGGUAUAAUGUAAGUAGAGGUUGUCUGGUUCGAGUUAGCAUCACUUUUCGAUAACUUUUAUGAUUGAACAUGCAAUUUAUUACCAACAAUGGUUAGGUUACAUAACUGUCAUGUUUUAAGUUAAAACAACAAUUGACAGCAUCUGCUCACAUAUCAUUCAAUAAUGGUUUGUUAUGAUGUAUCUUGAUUUGUUCAGUAGAUAAUAAAUGACAUUUCAGAUUGUUGGAUGCAGCUAAAAAGGUACAUUGAGAAAGUUACAUCUAGUCGCACUUAGCUAUGCAGUUUCUAAUUUAAUAGAUGUGAAAUCCUUGUCAACUGAUCAUUAAUCUAGACAUUAUAGUCGAAUGAACUCUCAACAUUAUACGCUUUUCACCCUCUCUCGAUUAGUUUAAGAGUUAUUCUUUUAUAGCCUCUACCACAAAGCUUAUAGCCUCUGCUGGUCAUGGGCAUGUCGUUGAUCUGUUUCAUUACUUCUGAGUCAAAGAGUCUGUUUAUCUCAAUGUACGGUAUUAGUUCAAGUGUCAAACAGUUUUGGUGAGUAAAGCUAUUUUUGUGAUUUGUCUGUUAUACCCAUAUUAUUUUAGCUAUCAGGCUUUACAUAAGAAAAGUAGCAUUUGUUUCCUGAUAAUUCACUUCCUCGAGCUGAGAAUUUCUCCUAGAUCAAGCUUGAUAUGUAGUUUAAAUAUCCUUUAGGCACUGUCCUCAUUGUUAUAAGAUGGUUUCCACCAGCUUUCAAGAUCUUUAUGGCAAACUUUUGAUGUAAUUGAUGUUCAUAUAUCCUACUUAAGCUUCUUGUCGUGCUUAAUGUCUGAAGUUUGUUUAAACUAAUAUAGAGGUUCUGUAAUCUCUUGUUAAAUACUGAUAAAUGUAAGAAAUGUGAUUGGUUUGAAUUUGACAAUAUAUGAGAAAGUACACUUAUUAGAAUAGAUUAGAUUGUUCUCUCGAACUAUUUCUAGCAACCAAACGAUACUCAUCUUCUGUUCUCUUUUUCUCUAGAAUAGUUGAAAUCAGUAUGCACCGAUUUUUUUUUCUCAUUUUCAAAAAAAAAAAGUAUUCACCGUGGACUUUCUGACCCUGUAGUCUCCGGGCACUUGGAUAUAAAUACUUAUUCCUUCGCUUCUUCAUCCUUUAAAGUUAGCCAACUUUUACUUGGUCUAGCAAUGACUAGGACGGCAAAGAAAAAUUAGGAGCAGCAUCAAACAAUAUGAGAAUGUGAUAACUAACCUGUUCCAUUCCAUUCUUGUAUGUAACCACUUCCUGCAGUUUUCAACCAGUGACCAGUUAACUGUGUAGGAGUAGUAAGAGCAAAAGUUGACGGGAAUGGCACGUACCACAGCUCCAGAGACAAUAAUGUAGAAAUCUGUUGGUAUCUCAUUUUGAAUAACAAUGUCAACUUUUGGUGGAAAGUAUUCUGCUUUUAUCUCGGAAACCUGUAAGAUCAAAAAUCGAAGGGCAUAGCUUAGUUAUGUGGAGCUGUUUAGGUUAAAUAUUCUGCUUUUAGUAGGCAGGUAAGAGAAUGCAUCACCAACUGGACUAUGAAGUCUUCAGAAACCCCUUUGAAAAGGUAGGUAUUUUCAAGUGUUGUAUGGAAGAGAUAUUGUGCAAUGCUACAUCUUAUUGCCUUGGGUAAGUCUCUUAUUACUUCCUCUUGCUGUAGUUCUGCAGUCUUGAAUUUGAGAGUCAAAUGUGCUGACAUUUGCUCUUUUAUACCUUCUGGAAGUCUAUUCUUGCUUGCAUAUCUCAGUGUCUUAUUGAUGGCAUCCCGCUGCAAUUAAAAACUGAUUAUCAUAUUGUUUUUAGAACUGAGACUUGAAAUGUAGAUUGCUUAAACUGUACUCUCAUUUUUCUUUUAAGGUGUCACUACCACAGCGAAGGUCCGAGCAAUGCCAUGAACAAUAAGAUUGGUCAUGUUGCCAAUUAAGUAGGCAGUGAGACCAAUGUUGAAAAGCAUGUAGAAGAUGGAGAAAACCUUCUCUCCUGUAUUAUGUGCACGGAGAUCGCCAUAGCCGACUGUGGUGAGAGUAGCAACAGACCAAUACAUGGAAUAUGUGUAUCCUAGAGAGAUACUUCUUUCUUGGAAAUUAGUAACAUUUGACCCAAUCCAGGUAUUCUCUGCAGUAUGAUAAUGAGUUGCUAGCCAGUAAUAUAAACAUCCAACAGAAUGCACUGCGAAUAAGGUCACCUAUGACAGAAUUAUAGCCAUAAGAUGGACGGUUACUUGAAGAAAAGAACCUGUAUAUCUGCAGGAUCAGGUAAAGUUGGAAAACGAAAGUGCUUACACAGAUUAGUUUACAGAAUCUUGUCCAGAAGUAGCUGAAC
rnacentral:lncRNA from 1 species